GGGGCAGCAUAACUUAGCUUGCUAAGUUGAUGGCGACCGGCGCACGGGUGAGUAACACGUAUCCACCUGCCGAUGACUCGGGGAUAGCCUUUCGAAAGAAAGAUUAAUACCCGAUGGCUCCGCAUGGUUAAAGAAUUUCGGUCAUCGAUGGGGAUGCGUUCCAUUAGGCUGUUGGCGGGGUAACGGCCCACCAAGCCUUCGAUGGAUAGGGGUUCUGAGAGGAAGGUCCCCCACAUUGGAACUGAGACACGGUCCAAACUCCACGGGAGGCAGCAGUGAGGAAUAUUGGUCAAUGGACGAGAGUCUGAACCAGCCAAGUAGCGUGAAGGAUGACUGCCUAUGGGUUGUAAACUUCUUUUAUACGGGAAUAAGUGAGGCACGCGUGCCUUUUUGUAUGUACCGUAUGAAUAAGGAUCGGCUAACUCCGUGCCAGCAGCCGCGGUAAUACGGAGGAUCCGAGCGUUAUCCGGAUUUAUUGGGUUUAAAGGGAGCGUAGGCGGACGCUUAAGUCAGUUGUGAAAGUUUGCGGCUCAACCGUAAAAUUGCAGUUGAUACUGGGUGUCUUGAGUA
rnacentral:rRNA from 1 species